GACCAAGAAGUCUAACAUGUGUGCGAGUCAUUGGGUAUAUUGUUGAAACCUAAGGGCGCAAUUAAAAUAACUAUUUUAUGGGAUUACAAGUGAAUUAAAUUUCAUUUCUUCAUCCCGGGGCGUUCUAUACGAACAUGGUUCAAGCAAUUGAAUCCUCUGUUCAAGAGCGUACCUUGAGCAUACAUGCUGUGACCCGAAAGAUGGUGAACUAUACCUGAUCAGAUCGAAGCCAGGAGAAAUUCUGGUGGAGGAUCGAAACAGUUCUGACGUGCAAAUCGAUUGUCAGAAUUGGGUAUAGGGGCGAAAGACCAAUCGAACCAUCUAGUAGCUGGUUCCCUCCGAAGUUUCCCUCAGGAUAGCUGGCGCAAAGAAUUAUAUUGUAUAUAAUCUUAUCUGGUAAAGCGAAUGAUUAGAGGCCUUGGGGCCGAAACGACCUCAACCUAUUCUCAAACUUUAAAUGGGUAAGAACCUCAUCUUUCUUGAUCUGAAGAUAUUGGGGUUUAGAUAUAUUGUGCCCAGUGGGCCACUUUUGGUAAGCAGAACUGGCGCUGUGGGAUGAACCAAACAUGAUGUUACGGCGCCUAAAUUAAUGACUCAUAUUGAUACCAUGAAAGGCGUUGGUUGCUUAAAACAGCAGGACGGUGGACAUGGAAGUCGUAAUCCGCUAAGGAGUGUGUAACAACUCACCUGCCGAAGCAACUAGCCCUUAAAAUGGAUGGCGCUCAAGUCAUAUGCCUAUACAUCAUCGCUAGAAUAAAUAUUGUUGGCCAUUCGGUCAUCAUUGUGAAAUUCUAGUGAGUAGGAGGGUACAAUGGUGUGCGCAGAAGUGUUUGGCGUGAGCCUGCAUGAAGCCGCCAUUGGCACAGAUCUUGGUGGUAGUAGCAAAUAAUCGAAUGAGAUCUUGGAGGACUGAAGUGGAGAAGGGUUUCGUGUGAACAGUGGUUGAUCACGAGUUAGUCGGUCCUAAGCUUUAUGCGAAAGCUGUUUAAUUUAUGUUACACACAAUUUUUUUUGUUGUACAUAAUUCAAUAAAAGCGAAAGGGAAUACGGUUCCAAUUCCGUAACCUGUUGAGUAUACGUUUGUUUAUUAAAAAUGGGUCUUAUUACACUCAUCCUGGCAACAGGAACGACCAUAGAGAAGCCUUCGAGAGAUACUGGAAGAGUUUUCUUUUCUGCUAAACAAGCGUACCACCAUGGAAGUCUUUUAUAGAGAGAUAUGGUGGAUGGCUUGGAAGAGCAUGACAUUUACUGUUGUGUCAGUAUUUUCUCCUUGGACCUUGAAAAUCUAUGGUGGGGCCACGCAAACUUCUCAACAGACCGUACCGAUAUCCGCAG
rnacentral:rRNA from 1 species